rnacentral:rRNA from 1 species
AUUGAACGCUGGCGGCAUGCCUUACACAUGCAAGUCGAACGGCAGCACGGGAGCAAUCCUGGUGGCGAGUGGCGAACGGGUGAGUAAUACAUCGGAACGUACCUGGUAGUGGGGGAUAGCCCGGCGAAAGCCGGAUUAAUACCGCAUACGACCUGAGGGUGAAAGCGGGGGACUCGCAAGGGCCUCGCGCUAUUGGAGCGGCCGAUGGCAGAUUAGGUAGUUGGUGGGGUAAAGGCCUACCAAGCCUGCGAUCUGUAGCUGGUUUGAGAGGACGACCAGCCACACUGGGACUGAGACACGGCCCAGACUCCUACGGGAGGCAGCAGUGGGGAAUUUUGGACAAUGGGCGCAAGCCUGAUCCAGCCAUGCCGCGUGCGGGAAGAAGGCCUUCGGGUUGUAAACCGCUUUUGUCGGGGAAGAAACGGUGGGAGCUAAUAACUUCUGCUAAUGACGGUACCCGAAGAAUAAGCACCGGCUAACUACGUGCCAGCCGCCGCCGUAAUAC